ensembl:snRNA U6 U6 spliceosomal RNA
GUGCUCACUUCAGUAGUACAUAUACUAAAAGUGAAAGAUUAGAGAAAAUUAGCAUGGCCCCUGCACAAGGAUCACACACAAAUUCCCCAAGCAUUCCAUUAAAAA